UACGUAGGUGGCAAGCGUUGUCCGGAUUUAUUGGGUUUAAAGGGUGCGUAGGCGGUGUCCUAAGUCAGCUGUGAAAUACGGCAGCUUAACUGUCGAGGUGCAAUUGAUACUGGGACACUUGAGUACUGAUGAGGUAGGCGGAAUGGACGGCGUAGCGGUGAAAUGCUUAGAUAUCGUCCAGAACACCGAUAGCGAAGGCAGCUUACUAAGGAGUAACUGACGCUGAGGCACGAAAGUGUGGGGAUCAAACAGG
rnacentral:rRNA from 1 species